AUCAUCUCUUUCUCUCUCACGCUUUCCGCUCACUCACCUUCUCCCAUCCCGUUUCCAAGAAAACAAACGUCAUUUUCUUUUUUUAGUUUUCUCCGACGACCAAGAACUUUAACCGGUUAUCCCAAGUCACCCUGACUUCUCAUUCUUCGUUAAGUUUCCUCUUCAUACCGGCAUAUCAACCUGUAAACAGUAAAACCAAGCCAGAAACUACUUUUUAACUGGAUAAGCUUCUUCUUAUUAUCAGUUUAUCAUGUAAGAUUAUUCAUUAUUAUUAUUAUUAUUCCUCUGUUGCUGUUGUUAUUAGCUAUGAACACCUUAUAUAAGAUAUGCAUAGUGCUUAUCGUCUUCUUCGUCAUCUCUUUGGUUCUUCUGGUGGUCGAGAUUUUCUACGUGCUUUGGCACCGGAGAAGAUUUUGGAGUGGGAGCGUCGCAGAUGGCGACGUGGAGUUCAGCGAUGAAUCAUUCUACCCGGCACCAUCAAAAGAGCUACUGUACUUCUUCUGCUGGAAGAACCAGACAUCUCGCAUCGAACUUGCUGGUGCAGAAACAACAGCAGCACCAGUAGCGACGGCUCCGCCACUCCCGCCGAUUAUGCUUGCUGAUGCCCAUGUGGAUGAGAUGCUGAAGCAGCAUGCACUAUACGGUCCAUCUAAGGUUUUGUUCACUAUAAAAGAAGAGGAAAAGGAGGAGAUGGAAACAGACUCGUCUUCUGCAGAGAACGGGGAGAGAAAAAGGAAAAAGAAGACGAAGAAGAAGUCGAGGAGCACCUCUUUGGAAGACGUUGCCGUUACUGCUGUGGUGAUUGACAUAGAUG
rnacentral:misc_RNA from 1 species